rnacentral:rRNA from 1 species
UAAGGAAUAUUGGACAAUGGGCGCAAGCCUGAUCCAGCCAUGCCGCGUGCAGGAUGAAAGUGCUAUGCACUGUAAACUGCUUUUGUUUGGGAAAAAACCCCUGGUUUCUACUGGGGCUGAUUGUACCAAAAGAAUAAGGGACGGCUAACUUCGUGCCAGCAGCCGCGGUAAUACGAAGGUCCCAAGCGUUAUCCGGAUUUAUUGGGUUUAAAGGGUGCGUAGGCGGACUAUUAAGUCAGUGGUGAAAGCCCCAAGCUUAACCUGGGAACUGCCAUUGUUACUGGUGGUGUUGAGUACAUUUGAGGUUGGCCGAAUGUGUCCAGUAGCGGUGUAAUGCUUUGAUAAAACACAGAACACCGAUUGCGAAGGCAGCUCAAUAAACUGUUACAGACGAUGAGGCACAAAAGCGUGGGGAGCAAACAGG